CCGGUUUAAGCGUGUAGGUGUGUGUUCCAGGUAAAUCCGGUUCACUUUAACACUGAGGCGUGAUGACGAGGCACUACGGUGCUGAAGUAACAAAUGCCCUGCUUCCAGGAAAAGCCUCUAAGCAUCAGGUAACAUCAAAUCGUACCCCAAACCGACACAGGUGGUCAGGUAGAGAAUACCAAGGCGCUUGAGAGAACUCGGGUGAAGGAACUAGGCAAAAUGGUGCCGUAACUUCGGGAGAAGGCACGCUGACACGUAGGUGAAGUGAUUUACUCACGGAGCUGAAGUCAGUCGAAGAUACCAGCUGGCUGCAACUGUUUAUUAAAAACACAGCACUGUGCAAACACGAAAGUGGACGUAUACGGUGUGACGCCUGCCCGGUGCCGGAAGGUUAAUUGAUGGGGUCAGCGCAAGCGAAGCUCCUGAUCGAAGCCCCGGUAAACGGCGGCCGUAACUAUAACGGUCCUAAGGUAGCGAAAUUCCUUGUCGGGUAAGUUCCGACCUGCACGAAUGGCGUAAUGAUGGCCAGGCUGUCUCCACCCGAGACUCAGUGAAAUUGAACUCGCUGUGAAGAUGCAGUGUACCCGCGGCAAGACGGAAAGACCCCGUGAACCUUUACUAUAGCUUGACACUGAACAUUGAGCCUUGAUGUGUAGGAUAGGUGGGAGGCUUUGAAGUGUGGACGCCAGUCUGCAUGGAGCCGACCUUGAAAUACCACCCUUUAAUGUUUGAUGUUCUAACGUGGACCCGUUACCCGGGUUGCGGACAGUGUCUGGUGGGUAGUUUGACUGGGGCGGUCUCCUCCUAAAGAGUAACGGAGGAGCACGAAGGUUGGCUAAUCCUGGUCGGACAUCAGGAGGUUAGUGCAAUGGCAUAAGCCAGCUUGACUGCGAGCGUGACGGCGCGAGCAGGUGCGAAAGCAGGUCAUAGUGAUCCGGUGGUUCUGAAUGGAAGGGCCAUCGCUCAACGGAUAAAAGGUACUCCGGGGAUAACAGGCUGAUACCGCCCAAGAGUUCAUAUCGACGGCGGUGUUUGGCACCUCGAUGUCGGCUCAUCACAUCCUGGGGCUGAAGUAGGUCCCAAGGGUAUGGCUGUUCGCCAUUUAAAGUGGUACGCGAGCUGGGUUUAGAACGUCGUGAGACAGUUCGGUCCCUAUCUGCCGUGGGCGCUGGAGAACUGAGGGGGGCUGCUCCUAGUACGAGAGGACCGGAGUGGACGCAUCACUGGUGUUCGGGUUGUCAUGCCAAUGGCACUGCCCGGUAGCUAAAUGCGGAAGAGAUAAGUGCUGAAAGCAUCUAAGCACGAAACUUGCCCCGAGAUGAGUUCUCCCUGAGACUUUAGGUCUCCUGAAGGAACGUUGAAGACGACGACGUUGAUAGGCCGGGUGUGUAAGCGCAGCGAUGCGUUGAGCUAACCGGUACUAAUGAACCGUGAGGCUUAACCUUACAACGCCG
rnacentral:rRNA from 1 species